GCGUAAAAGGUUUGUCAUGGAUCUCACAACAGGCUCGUCAUUAGCCUUUCACGCUGAAGAGGCGGGUUCGACUCCCGCAGGGCGCGCCA
rnacentral:tRNA from 1 species